CAUUCAACGAUUUACAAAUUAUUGGUUAUUCUUUUAAAAGUCGAUCAUGAAUUCUUUGUUUUGGGAUGAUUGUUUUGUAAUCGCGUGAUUGGAAGAAGUUAAUAUGGCGACGUGAACAUGGGAGUAAAUACCACAUACGUCGAUCUAUGGCUUGUUUAAAACCGUAAUAAACGAAGAAAGACGUGAUUUGAGAAUGAAAUGUAAGUUGAAAUUAACUUUAUAUGCCUCAAAUUUUCCAUCCUAUGUUUCUUAAUGUAACUUCAGCUGUCUAAGUUCAAAAUACAAGCUCGCGAAAUUUGACAAAUUUUGAAAAUAUGUAAAAAUAGCUUGACUUUGAACUGUA